rnacentral:ribozyme from 15 species
GUCAUUGAGAGGAAAGUCGAGACUACACGAAAAUGGGUGAAGGAGAAUGGCCAGCACGUGGUGAGGGAUGAAAUCACAGAAGAC